CCAGAGAAGAAGUCAUGACGGUAUCUGGGGAAUAAGCAUCGGCUAACUUUUGUCCCCGCAGCCGCGGUAAGACAGAGGAUGCAAGCGUUACUCGGAAUGAUUGGGCGUAAAGCGUCUGUAGGGGGCUUUUUAAGUCUGCUGUCAAAUCCCAGGGCUUAACCCUGGCCAGGCGGGGGAGACUACGGAGCUUGAGUACGGUAGGGGCAGAGGGAAUUUCCGGAGGAGCGGUGAAAUGCGUAGAGAUCGG
rnacentral:rRNA from 1 species